rnacentral:rRNA from 1 species
UACGUAGGGACCGAGCGUUGUCCGGAAUCAUUGGGCGUAAAGAGCGUGUAGGCGGCUAUUCAAGUCCUGCGUGAAAUCCUGCGGCUCAACCGCAGACGGUCGUGGGAAACUGGAUGGCUAGAGUGCGGGAGAGGAGAGUGGAAUUCCCGGUGUAGCGGUGAAAUGCGCAGAUAUCGGGAAGAACACCCGUGGCGAAGGCGGCUCUCUGGAACGCAACUGACGCUGAGACGCGAAAGCGUGGGGAGCAAACAGG